AACAGGUCUGGUGGGCACCGUCUUGUCAAGUCUUUAUAUCUCUCCCAUGCUUCAUAGAGAGUUUCACCAUCUUGUUGUCUAAAGUUUUAGACCUCCUUAAUCUAUU